rnacentral:lncRNA from 1 species
GGGGGAAUGAUUCUUAGAGUAUGAGGAAGUGUUUGAUGGCAAGAUUAAGAUGACGAGUGAUUUUGCUUGCAGUAUUGUUGGAAUUGUAUCUAUAAAGCUUAGGACACAUGAUGAUAUAGUCUGCAUAUUGAUUGAAGUCAGAUAUGUUCCAUUGAUGUCCACGAAACAUCUCAGUUCGUCCCAGGUGGAGAAUGUGGGGAAUGGAUUUUCAAUGUCUACAUGGAUUCAAAUGUAGUUAUGAGAGGUUUAAUUCAUGGUACUAUGUAUUUUCUGGAGCGUUCUAUAGUUUCAGGUUCAACAAAGUUGCAUCUCCACAUAUUCACAAUGAGGAAAUGACAAACAUUG